GAUGAAGAACGUAGCGAAAUGCGAUACUUGGUGUGAAUUGCAGAAUCCCGUGAACCAUCGAGUCUUUGAACGCAAGUUGCGCCCGAAGCCACUAGGCCGAGGGCACGCCUGCCUGGGCGUCACACGCCGUUGCCCCCCCAUCUACUCCUUCGGGAUUGCGGGGGGGCGGAUGAUGGCCUCCCGUGCGCCUAGCCGCGCGGUUGGCAUAAAUACCAAGUCCUCGGCGACGCACGCCACGACAAUCGGUGGUUGCGAAACCUCGGUUGCCCGUCGUGUGCGUUCGUCGCGCAUCGAGGGCUCGAAAAAUGCUCGGCUCCGGCUGGGCUUUCAACGCGACCCCAGGUCAGGCGGGGUUACCCGCUGAAUUUAAGCAUAUCAAUAAGCGGAGGA
rnacentral:misc_RNA from 1 species